CCGUCGGCCCCUCGCGACGCUAGGUCGAAAACCCCGCCAGGGCCGGAAGGCAGCAACGGUAUCGACCGACGCGGGCGCCGAGGUCAGCCGG
rnacentral:SRP_RNA from 2 species